rnacentral:rRNA from 1 species
GAUGAACGCUGGCGGCGUGCCUAAUACAUGCAAGUCGAGCGAACGGACGAGAAGCUUGCUUCUCUCAUGUUAGCGGCGGACGGGUGAGUAACACGUGGAUAACCUACCUAUAAGACUGGGAUAACUACGGGAAACCGGAGCUAAUACCGGAGAAUAUUCUGAACCGUGUGGUUCAAAAGUGAGAGACGGUCUUGCUGUCACUUAUAGAUGGAUCUCGGCUGCAUUAGCUAGUUGGUAAGGUAACGGCUUACCAAGGCAACGAUGCAUAGGCGACGUGAGGGGGUGAUCGGCCACCUUGGAACGGAGACGCGGUCCAGACUCCUACGGGAGGCAGCAGUAGGGAAUCUUCCGCAAUGGUCGAAAGCCUGACGGAGCAACGCCGCGUGAGUGAUGAAGGUCCUCGGAUCGUAAAACUCUGUUAUUAGGUAAGAACAUAUGUGGAAGUAGCUGUGCACAUCUUGACGGUACCGAAUCAGAAAGCCACGGCUAACUACGUG